UUAGUAUUUUAUUAUAUUUAUUUUAGGAACAUUUUAUUAUUGAUAUUUCUAUAUGUAUGUAUUCCUUCUGGUAAAUGACCGGGACGUCAUUUUACAUCCAGGGGGAGUUUGUGGCAGAGUCAUAUUUGAUUGAUAUAUAUUAAGUAUGAUAUUUUUUAUUAUUAAUUUUAUUGCAAUGUUUGAUAGUUUAGUUACUCAUUGUUUCUAUUUCUAGUACUAUUGUUCUAGUAUUAUUCUCUUUAUCCUUUGGCGAACCUCUUUUCUGUCAUAUCAUUUCGGAGGGAAAAUUCUAACCUUUUGAUUGGUCAAUCUUUAGGCCUUAGGCCUUACUAUAGGUUUUCUUUGUUUCUGGAGAUUAAUACUGCAGACAUAUUGAAAUGCAGUGGUGAAAAAUAACCUGUUUGAUAAAUUGAUUUCUUAUAUAUAUUAUACUCCAUAUUCUUGGAUUUUCAAUAUCCUUAUAUUCAGGAUAUGGAUUAAUACCUUCUCAUAUGACAUGUAUGAGUAGUGCUCAGAUUUAUACACACAUCACUGUGAUGUUUCCAAUUACUACACUGACCUAUGUACCAUAUACAUGGGUCUAAAUAUAGUGUAUUAAAAGAAAAGAACCCUA